UGGACACACCCUGGGUUAAAAAGGGGUUUAAGCUCAUUGAGGAGAGUUUGGUGAAAUGGAAGCACUUACCUGCCGAAGAUGUCACGUGGGAAAACACUAAAGAUUUACUGGAACAAUUUGCCUCACUGAACCUGAGGAUAAGGUUCAUGUAAAAAGGAGGAGCGAUGAUAAGCCCCGUCGAUCAUAAAGGCAGUCAUGUCGAAACCCGAAAUAUAUGGAAUGAACUAUUCAUGUUGCAGACCCACGACGCAGCCACGAAAAACAAGGACAACAGGACUCAGU
rnacentral:lncRNA from 1 species